GGCUCAGUGGUGCAACUGGUGAAGACACAACAGGUUUAAACCCUGUAAAGUAAGGGUUCGAGUCCCUUCUGAGUCACCA
rnacentral:tRNA from 2 species